UACGUAGGGGGCUAGCGUUGUCCGGAUUUAUUGGGCGUAAAGAGCGUGUAGGCGGCCAAGUAGGUCCGGUGUGAAAACUCGAGGCUUAACCUCGAGAUGUCAUCGGAAACCAUUUGGCUAGAGUCCGGAAGAGGAAAGUGGAAUUCCUGGUGUAGCGGUGAAAUGCGUAGAUAUCGGAAGGAACAUCAGUGGCGAAAGCGGCUUCCUGGACCAGCACCGACGUUCAGGCACGAAAGCGUGGGGAGCAAACAGG
rnacentral:rRNA from 1 species